UACGGAGGAUCCAAGCGUUAUCCGGAAUCAUUGGGGUUAUAGGGUCCGUAGGUGGGCCGUUAAGUCAGAGGUGAAAUCCUGCAGCUCAACUGUAGAAUUGCCUUUGAUACUGGCGGCCUUGAAUUACUGUGAAGUGGUUAGAAUAUGUGGUGUAGCGGUGAAAUGCAUAGAUAUCACAUAGAAUGCCGAUUGCGAAGGCAUAUCACUAACAGUACAUUGACACUGAUGGACGAAAGCGUGGGGAGCGAACAGG
rnacentral:rRNA from 1 species